GUCCGGGCGUGUGGUGAAGAAGGUCUUCGGAUUGUAAAGCACUUUAAGUUGGGAGGAAGGGGAUUAACCUAAUACAUUAAUGCUUUGACGUUACCGACCCAAUAACCACCGGCUAACUCUGUGCCAUCACCCGCGUCAAUACUAAGGGUGCAAGCGUUAAUCGAAAUUACUGGGCGUAAAGCGCGCGAAGGUGCUUUGUUAAGCCGCAUGUGAAACCCCCGGACUCAACCUGGGAACUGCAUUCAAAACUGACUGACUACAGAAUGGAAAAGGGAGGUGGAAUUUCCUGUGUAACGGCGAAAUGCGUAAAUAUAAGAAGGAACACCAUUGGCGAAGGCGACCACCUGGACUAAUACUGACACUGAGGAGCAAAAGCCCGGGGAGCACACAGGAUUAAAUACCCUGGUAAUCCACGCCGAAAACGAUGUCUACUAGCCGUUGGAAGCCUUGAACUUUUACCGGCGCAGCUAACGCAUUAAGUUGACCGCCUGGGGAGGACGGCCGCGAGGUUAAAACUCAAAGGAAUUGACGG
rnacentral:rRNA from 1 species